rnacentral:rRNA from 1 species
AUACGUAGGUGGCAAGCGUUAUCCGGAUUUAUUGGGCGUAAAGGGUGCGCAGGCGGUCUGUUUAGUCUGAGGUGAAAGCGUUGAGCUCAACUCAAUUAAGCCUCAGAUACUGGCAGACUAGAGUGCAGAAGAGGGUUAUGGAAUUCCAUGUGUAGCGGUAAAAUGCGUAGAUAUAUGGAGGAACACCGGUGGCGAAGGCGGUAACCUGGUCUGUUACUGACGCUCAGGCACGAAAGCGUGGGGAGCAAAUAGGAUUAGAUACCCUAGUAGUCCACGCCCUAAACGAUGAUUACUAAAUGUUGGGGAAACUCAGUGUUGCAGCUAACGCAAUAAGUAAUCCGCCUGGGGAGUAUGCACGCAAGUGUGAAACUCAAAUGAAUUGACGGGG